UGGGGAAUUGUUCGCAAUGGGCGCAAGCCUGACGACGCAACGCCGCGUGGAGGAUGAAGGUCUUCGGAUUGUAAACUCCUGUUGGGUGGGACGAAUCCUUCCCGGGCUAAUACCCCGGGGAAAUGACGGUACCACCUGAGGAAGCCCCGGCUAACUCUGUGCCAGCAGCCGCGGUAAUACAGAGGGGGCGAGCGUUGUUCGGAAUUACUGGGCGUAAAGGGCGCGUAGGCGGCCGACUAAGUCAGACGUGAAAUCCCCGGGCUCAACCCGGGAACUGCGUCUGAUACUGGUUGGCUGGAGUCCGGGAGAGGGAAGCGGAAUUCCAGGUGUAGCGGUGAAAUGCGUAGAUAUCUGGAGGAACACCGGUGGCGAAGGCGGCUUCCUGGACCGGUACUGACGCUGAGGCGCGAAAGCCAGGGGAGCAAACGGG
rnacentral:rRNA from 1 species